GCCAAAAAUCUAGCCUUUAAACAACCUAUGCAACCUCCUAUUUAUUUUAAUUUAAUAAAACAUUUUUUUAUUCUAGUAGAUGAGAUCAAAAAAUUUCUUAGCGCUUCAGAUUAAGUACCGCAAGGGAAAGAUUAAAUAAUAAUGAAAUAACAUCAAAGCAUCUAAUAGCAGAGUUUUAUUCUCGUACCUUUUGCAUCAUGGUCUAGCUAGUUUAACUAAGCAAAACGAAUUUUAAGUUUAACCCCCCGAAACUGAUGUGAGCUACUUCGAAACAGCUAUAAGAGCCAACCCGUCUCUGUUGCAAUAGAGUGGAAAGAUUUCCAAGUAGAGGUGAUAAACCUACCGCACUCAGAAAUAGCUGGUUACUCAAGAAAAGAAUAUAAGUUCAACCUUAAGUUUAUUUUAGUUCUUCUAAACCUUAAUAAAACUUAAGAGCUAUUCAAAUAAGGCACAGCUUAUUUGAAACAGGAUACAACCUUUAUUAUAGGGUAAUACAUCAAAAAUAAAAUGAUUAGUGGGCCUAAAAGCAGCCACCUUAAAUAAAAGCGUCAAAGCUUAACAUUUUCUUUUUCUAAUUCCUCAAACCACCUAAAACCCCUCCCCAAUAUUGAGUAAUUCCAUAAAAAUAUGGAAGAUAUUAUGCUAGAACUAGUAACAAGAAAUAACCUUUCUCCAAAAUGUAAGUCUAAGCCACAUUAGAUAAACUAAUGGCAAUUAACGAAAAUGAACCUCCUUUAGUAACUAACCAAGAAAAUUCUACAAACCAAAACGUUAACCUUACACUAGAACAUUAAUGGAAAGAUUAAAAGAAAAAGAAGGAACUCGGCAAAUCUUAACCCCGCCUGUUUACCAAAAACAUCGCCUCUUGAAAUCAAAUAUAAGAGGUCUAGCCUGCCCAGUGAUAAAAUUCAACGGCCGCGGUACCCUAACCGUGCGAAGGUAGCAUAAUCACUUGUUCUUUAAAUGAGGACUUGUAUCAACGGCAUCACGAGGGUUACACUGUCUCCUUUUUCCAAUCAGUGAAACUGAUCUCUCCGUGAAGAAGCGGAGAUUUUUUUAUAAGACGAGAAGACCCCAUGGAGCUUUAAACCCACCUGCACUCCUAUUUUCUACUGCCUCUAAAACUAUGGAAUCUGCAUUCUUGGUUUUAGGUUGGGGUGACCGCGGAGCACAAUACAGCCUCCACGAUGAACGGGGUUUACCCCCUUAUCUAAGAGCUACACCUCUAAGAAUUAGCAUUCUAACAUAAAAUGAUCCGACAAUCGAUCAACGAACCAAGUUACCCUGGGGAUAACAGCGCAAUCCACUUCAAGAGCCCCUAUCGACAAGUGGGUUUACGACCUCGAUGUUGGAUCAGGGUAUCCUAGUGGUGCAGCAGCUACUAAAGGUUCGUUUGUUCAACGAUUAAAACCCUACGUGAUCUGAGUUCAGACCGGAGUAAUCCAGGUCGGUUUCUAUCUAUAAAGAGUUGUUCCUAGUACGAAAGGACCGGAACAACAUGGCCCAUGCUCAAACAAACCAUCAUAUUUUAUUAAUGAAUUUAACUUAAUUACCUAUUUAUCUAUUACUGCCCCUCCAAAACCAGGAC
rnacentral:rRNA from 1 species